rnacentral:rRNA from 1 species
AGGGCGCACAGUCAGUGGGGGUAGACGCGAAACCAAGUGAUCUACACUUGGCCAGGAUGAAGUCCCGGUAACACGGGAUGGAGGUCCGCACCAAUAAGCGUUGAAAAGCUUCUGGAUGAGCCGAGUGUAGGAGUGAAAGGCCAAUCAAACUUGGAGAUAGCUCGUACUCCCCGAAAGGCAUUUAGGUGCCGCGUCGGAUGGUCACCGUGAGAGGUAGAGCGACCGAUAGGACAAGAGGGCUUCACCGCCUAUCGAGUCCUGACGAACUCCGAAUGCUCACGGUUUGCAGUCCGGCAGUAAGGGGGCGGGUGCUAAGGUCCGUCCCCGAGAGGAGAAGAAUCCAGACCGCCGUCUAAGGUCCCGGAGUUCUGCCUGAGUUAGUCUAACGAAGUCUGGUCCCUAUGACAGCUAGGAUGUUGGCUUGGAAGCAGCCAUUCAUUCAAAGAGUGCGUAACAGCUCACUAGUCGAGGGUCCGGGCAUGGAUAAUAAUCGGGUAUAAGGCAGACACCGAAGGCGCGGGAUAGCAAUUAUAAAAGUAUCGGUAGGGGAGCAUACUCACAGCGUCGAAUGGUGUACGUAAGUUAUCCUGGAGCGGUGAGUAAAGCAAAUGUAGGAAUAAGUAACGAUAAGGAGGGUUAGAUUCCCUCCCGCUGUAAGACCAAGGUUUCCCGGGCAAUGCCAAUCAGCCCGGGGUCAGUCGGGUCCUAAGUCUAAGCCGAACGGCGAUGGCGAUGGCAGAGACGGUUAAUAUUCCGUCACUGCCGCAUGGGGCGACGUGGAGACGGAGCAGUGAAACCACCGCGGGGCGACGGAAGUCCCCGUUGAAGAGUGUAGGCGUUGAGGAUGGCAGGCAAAUCCACCAUCCGAGCUGAACUUGACAGUACGGAGUCCUCCUCGGAGGAAUCUGAUAGUGUGGGUAAUCAUACUCCCGAGAAAAUCCGCUAAGCUUAACCCAUGCGGCACCCGUACCGCAAACGGACACACGUGGUCGGGUAGAACAUACUAAGGCGUUGAGAGAUUCAUGGUUAAGGAACUAGGCAAAUUGACCCUGUAACUUCGGGAUAAAGGGUCCUCGUGAUGAGCGAGGCGCAGAGAAUAGGUCCAGGCAACUGUUUAACAAAAACACAGGGCUGUGCAAACUCGAAAGAUGACGUAUACAGCCUGACACCUGCCCGGUGCCGGAAGGUUAAGAGGAGAUGUCACUAGCAAUAGGAAGCAUUGAAUUGAAGCCCCGGUAAACGGCGGCCGUAACUAUAACGGUCCUAAGGUAGCGAAAUUCCUUGUCGGGU